CAGUAGCCACGGGAAUACGUAGGGUGCAAGCGUUAAUCGGAAUUACUGGGCGUAGAGCGUGCGCAGGCGGUUUGUUAAGACAGAUGUGAAAUCCCCGGGCUCAACCUGGGAACUGCAUUUGUGACUGGCAAGCUAGAGUGUGGCAGAGGGGGGUGGAAUUCCGCGUGUAGCAGUGAAAUGCGUGGAUAUGCGGAGGAACACCGAUGGCGAAGGCAGCCCCCUGGGCCAACACUGACGCUCAUGCACGAAAGCGUGGGGAGCAAACAGGAUUAGAUACCCCAGUAGUCCCUGUCUCUUAUAC
rnacentral:rRNA from 1 species